rnacentral:lncRNA from 1 species
UUUUAUUUUGUUUAUUUUCUUGCUUUUUGCAACCGCGGGACCGCGUUUCUGCGCUUCAGAUUGCGUUUUUCCGACUCCUUUGUUUGAUAUCGUGUCGUAUCGUCGUAUUUAUGUAGUUAUUAGGAACGGCAAGGCCUACGUUGUUGCGUCCUUUACCUGAAUAUCGUGACCGAAUCGAGUGUCGUCGAUUUGAAUCGUGUCUUGCGAACCAUCGUCGAACAAAAGGUGAUGGCUGGUCGUGGUUCAUCAGCGUUUGUUUUGAAACUGAUGGGUACCACAAGGCAUGAAGGAGGUGACUUGCAGCAGCAAGGCACUGCAAGCCUUCGCAGCAACUGGCUAGCCAGUGCUGCUCUGUUCUGAACUGCACUGCGUGUCAUGCGGAGGUUUUGUGCAAGCUCUCUGGGCGGUGACGCUAGCCACGGUUGGCUUCGUGGAUGCACAGAAAUACUCAAGGCGCUUGACGUCUGUGGCUCAUCUGUAUUGUUUUUCCCGGUACCACGGCAUGAAGGAGCUGGCCUCCCUCCCUUCCAUCAGCUGCGAGAUACUACAAGCAGUGGGCUACAGCUGCAGCUAGCCCAUGGGUACCGUUCUGCGUCCUGUACUGCAUCUAGUUCGAAAGGCCAUGUGAAAGGCAGGUACCGGGGACCAUGACAUCAGUGAGCUGGCUUUCACCUUGUCCAAGGCAGCAGCGGAACACUACGGGCGGGACCCUGGAUCACUGCACCAUGGAUGCCGUCCUGUACCCUGCACGGCACUGCGUGUGGCUUAAGUGGCCAAGCAGA